GCCAUGGUUGAAUGGCGGAGUAGACUUGAUGGGCCGAAUGGCCUAAUUCUGCUCCUAUCACUUAUCACCUAUAACUUUCAAACCAGGUCUCUGUAUUGUCCAGUGUGCUGAAGCUAAACCUAAAUAACAAGGCGUCAGGAGGAUAUCGUGGGCGUCUGUCCUGCUUAGUGUUGGUACAAAAGCAAAUUAAAAUGUUAGAAAGUCGACAAGCAGUGGCAAUCAUUUACAGGGAUGUCUGGAUAUCACCAGUUAAUUCUGCCAGAAGAAACCUCCCUGUGGCCAGUGUGUGACCCUGGUCAGUGGUCAGUGUGUGACCGUGGGCAGUGGUCAGUGAUGGGCUAGCGGACAGUGACUGACCCUGGUCAGUGGUCAGUGAGUGACCCUGGGCAGUGGUCAGCAAGUGGCAGUGGGCAGUGAGUGACCCUGGGCAGUGGUCAGUGAUGGACUAGCGGACAGGCACAUUAAAACGGUUAUAGAUGUUUAAAGUGUUGCCAAAGUGAGUCAGGAUGAAACAUUGUAGAAACAAUUGUCACCUCCACCGAUAGUGGAUCCAUAGAUAGAUUUGUAAGAAGAAAUUGAUAGUUGAUCGAUUCUGUUCUUGCGGCAUGACUGCUGUAAGGAAGUGAGGGAAAGUCUGGAACUGUGGACUGCUCACCCUAGCUCUGUUUUAACACACCUGGUGCCGUGUUUUAAGCCAUG